rnacentral:rRNA from 1 species
ACCUGCCCCAUAGUCUGGGAUACCACUUUGGAAACAGGUGCUAAUACCGGAUAAGAAAGCAGAUCGCAUGAUCAGCUUUUAAAAGGCGGCGUAAGCUGUCGCUAUGGGAUGGCCCCGCGGUGCAUUAGCUAGUUGGUAGGGUAAAGGCUUACCAAGGCGAUGAUGCAUAGCCGAGUUGAGAGACUGAUCGGCCACAUUGGGACUGAGACACGGCCCAAACUCCUACGGGAGGCAGCAGUAGGGAAUCUUCCACAAUGGACGCAAGUCUGAUGGAGCAACGCCGCGUGAGUGAAGAAGGUUUUCGGAUCGUAAAGCUCUGUUGUUGGUGAAGAAGGAUAGAGGUAGUAACUGGCCUUUAUUUGACGGUAAUCAACCAGAAAGUCACGGCUAACUACGUGCCAGCAGCCGCGGUAAUACGUAGGUGGCAAGCGUUGUCCGGAUUUAUUGGGCGUAAAGCGAGCGCAGGCGGAAGAAUAAGUCUGAUGUGAAAGCCCUCGGCUUAACCGAGGAACUGCAUCGGAAACUGUUUUUUCUUGAGUGCAGAAAAGGAGAGUGGAACUCCAUGUGUAGCCGGUGGAAUGGCGUAGAUAUAUGGAAGA